AUGGCAGAGAGCGAGACGCCCCCGCGAGCUCUUUCAUCAACCAUCAUGGAUGACACCGAGGUGUUGUCCCGAAGGACCUCUCCUGGCCGCGGAGGGGCGAGCAAGGCUGCCGAGAAGGCGCCCGAGGGUGAUACCUCGGCUACCGAAGACACGGGGGGUGCGACCCCCAUGACGACCGACGGCGGGGGCCCUGAUCAAUCCGGCCCCCAGUCGAACAUCAUUCCGGAGACCCAAGUGGCUCCGAAAUCAGGCGAGCAGCCCCCUUUGAAGGAGGGGGGAUCAUCAGCUCCGACGGCGACCUCCACUAAUCCGGAGGCGCCGAAUACUCUGGUGUAA
rnacentral:rRNA from 1 species